AGUACCGUGAGGGAAAGGCGAAAAGAACCCCGGCGAGGGGAGUGAAAAAGAACCUGAAACCGUGUACGUACAAGCAGUGGGAGCCUCUUAAUGGGGUGACUGCGUACCUUUUGUAUAAUGGGUCAGCGACUUAUAUUCUGUAGCAAGGUUAACCGAAUAGGGGAGCCGAAGGGAAACCGAGUCUUAACUGGGCGUUAAGUUGCAGGGUAUAGACCCGAAACCCGGUGAUCUAGCCAUGGGCAGGUUGAAGGUUGGGUAACACUAACUGGAGGACCGAACCGACUAAUGUUGAAAAAUUAGCGGAUGACUUGUGGCUGGGGGUGAAAGGCCAAUCAAACCGGGAGAUAGCUGGUUCUCCCCGAAAGCUAUUUAGGUAGCGCCUCGUGAAUUCAUCUCCGGGGGUAGAGCACUGUUUCGGCAAGGGGGUCAUCCCGACUUACCAACCCGAUGCAAACUGCGAAUACCGGAGAAUGUUAUCACGGGAGACACACGGCGGGUGCUAACGUCCGUCGUGAAGAGGGAAACAACCCAGACCGCCAGCUAAGGUCCCAAAGUCAUGGUUAAGUGGGAAACGAUGUGGGAAGGCCCAGACAGCCAGGAUGUUGGCUUAGAAGCAGCCAUCAUUUAAAGAAAGCGUAAUAGCUCACUGGUCGAGUCGGCCUGCGCGGAAGAUGUAACGGGGCUAAACCAUGCACCGAAGCUGCGGCAGCGACACUAUGUGUUGUUGGGUAGGGGAGC
rnacentral:rRNA from 1 species